UUUUUUUUUUGCUUCUAUGGUGUGCGUCAGCAGGAGAUUGACAUCGAAGAUGAUUCUUUUUGGCAUAUAGUUUAUAUUCUCAUUUUUUCUUUUAUGUAUGUAUGAGAGCGAUGACACCUUCACCUUCCACCGUAAACUCAAUUAACCAUGGGUGUGUUUACAGUGUAAUUUUGCUGCUUGAUUUAUUUAAAUGGCCAAAUUAUUCAGUUGCUGGCGGUUAACUUGAUCAACGGAUUGUUGUUUAAUAAUUGGCAGGAUCCACAGUCUUGUUUUAGAAUUGGAGAUCGUCGAGUGCAGCAAAAUAAUUCACGAAGGCCAAACAAGUAUAUUUGUGCAGAGCUUUGCAUGGUUGAAUGCCCUGAUCAUGGAAGGAGAGAUUACGCAUGCAUAAAGGGUUGUAAAUGAAGCAACUCAUAUGAAGAUUUCCAUUAUGGUGUGAUUAGGAUGUGGCCGAAAUUUUUUAUUGUUGCAUUGUAAACCAACGUGUACAAGAUUAUGGUCUAGUGCGGUCACGUUGUAGAUUUAACAGGAUAGAACAUUGUAUAUAUGGUAACCGAAUUAAACUGGUCAAGUCUUAUUCAGUAUAAGCCAGAGUCUUGUCCAUAUACGUGAAGUGCCUUAUAAAUACUAGAGUCUGGGGCGCACCUCCGGCGCGCCAAUUUUCUGACCAAAUUUUCAUUAAAAGGAUUGAUGUUCAUGUAUUAGCGUCAAGAGCGUGAUAUGUCUUAAAAAAAUAAAAUUAGUGGUACUAAUCAGGCAGCUGCAUGCGCUAAUGUUUAGGUCUUUAUGUUUUGAUGUGAUGGGAGAAAUUAUGAUUUUAAUAAUGAUGAUUAAUGUCUGCAUCCGAUAGUAUAAGCAUUAACUUUGAAGGAGUUGCGUAAUUAAUUCUAUAUAUUCAUCAGUGCGGAGGUAAGAGAUUGGAAUUGGAGUCGAGCAGGAUAAUUGUAUAGUAAUCACAAUCACGUUGCCUUUGCUCAUAUGGAAAAGUAAACCAGCUACUGAAAUAAGUGAUAUAGUAACAUAGUACAUAAUUACAUAGUAGUGGUAGAGGACGAGUAUUAAAAUAAAUAAACACAUCUAACAGCAAUGCUUGUUGACUAAGUGGACAAACUGGUCAGUAAACAUCUCAAGAGUAGAUUGUGGAGGAGUAUUUCCUGUGUAUGUAAGUGUGACGGUGUUCGAAGUAGUAGUAUUGCCUGUAUUUGGAGAAAUUGCAAGAGGAAGUACGUUGCUAUAGUCGGCGGAUAGCUCUGUGAUCUUAGCGAUGAAGUUGUGAUGUUGAUUUUCUAUCUUUUUCAAGCGUUUCAUUUGAGCGACACAUGCGUCCUCAAAAAUCCAUGCUCAAGACAUAGCUGAUUCCUUCACUUUCUGUGUCUUCAAUAGGUUGGCAUGGUUGUGAUAGACCAAAGUCAAUUUCCCUUCGCUUGUGAUACUGUGAAUGGCAUCAUCAUAGGUUGAUUCUAUUGCUCCGCCUACGGUAUAUACGAAAUCGCUGUAGUAAGUUGCUUUCUUAUUAUGCGGAGGAGGUGUUCGCUGCGUUGGCAUAAUAGUAAUGGAGGCAGUGAAGAUAGAAUUACUCAUUUUUCUCACAUCUGUUCUAGAUACAUAAAGAUGUAGGUCUUGCGCAAUUUGAUCGAAAAAUAGCUUCUUUGGUAUCUAAACAGACAACAUAGUUUUGUGACAUUUAAAGUAGUUCCUUAGCUUUCAUGUUGGAGUGGUAGGGAUUUGAUGCGUUGUACAAAGGAAGAAAUGAUUUGAACAAUGGAAAAUUCAUAACUACGCUUUUGGUUGUGAUAACGCCUUCGUGUUUACUUCAUUCUUAAAGUGGUUACCAUGUGGAAAGGUCGUAGCUUGAAGAGAUGAAAGUGCUUUGCAUCUUGGAUAGCUAUUUAUAUAAGAUAGUCCUAGUUAAAAACACCUGUAGGCAAAGGUGAACAUGUAUGAAAUGUCGUGGCAGCUAAUCUUCUUGUCAUGUAUUCAUCGUGUCAUGCAAGUGCUGCGCAUGGAAGUUGUGUUUAUCUGUGUGUCUAUGACUUGUAUAUGUGUGAUAUCCUUCAAUCGACAAUGUGGUUUCCACGUAUUGGGCUAGGACUGGCCCAUUAGUUUCAAAAAUCCCAGCAGUUGGUGUAGCAAAGAAACAUGAGGUCACCAGUAGCUUCCACCGUGGGCUCCUGACUUCCUGCGUCUGCUUUCGUGUGUUUGGCUACUCACUCCGUGCAGAAUCGAACAUUGAUGGCGCUCAACAUCCUCAAAACCUAGGUCUAGAAGGGGAGCAUCGAUUCGAACAGCGCCUGAGGGGCAGGUGCGCAGCGGCGGUCAAUAAGAGAGAGGAAGUUGGUUGGUAUAUAAUAGAUAGUUAAGAGCUAUCGAAUGAUGCUUGCUGGAUUUGAUUCGACUAACUAAUCCAAAUUUUGUUUCAAAUAGAUCGGAGUAAGGAAGAUAGGGAGGAAAGGUACGUUGGUCUCUUUCGAUUCUCGCAGUAAAGUGAAUCAUUCAAUGGCACUGUGGUAGGAUUAUCGCUGGAACCCAAGUGAUUCACAGGUUAGUUCAUUAGUAUUUAGUCUCUGCAUACAAAGAUGGGAAGAGAUCUAUAUAGUUUUGCUUACUCUAUACAAACAGACAUGAAUAUUCACUGUAAAGAAAUGAAAAAACAGUUGACUAAGUAGGAAACACCAUUAUUUGAACUGAAGGGGUCAUAGGUAUAUGAAGUUCUCCCAUAGAUUAGGUGUAUAAAUAAUUGAGGAUUGUAAAUCAUGACCACACUUUUUGUGAGACUUAACGUGGUUAUAGUAGGUUGAUGUUGUCAAUAAAUUGUUGAUGUCAAAUAACAAUGCAUUCACUAUUAUGUUACUAAGUUAAAUUGAAGACAUGAUCUGAGUUGUGUCAGUAGCAUUGCAGUGUGCAGCAUAGCCGUGGUAAAGUAUAGAUCCUACAAUUAUGUACACAAUGUUAGUGUUUGUACCUGAUACUUUAUACAACUAUAUUUGUUCAUUACAACUCUAGUUUGUUCAUGCUCAAAUUGAUUAGAUUACGACUAUAAUUCAUCUUUUUUAUAUUGACCCGUGUAGAAUGGCAACAGAAGAAUUGUGCCCUAUGAAUGAUAUUGGAAAGAUAUUCCAGUGGUACGAUGAUAGGUACGGAAAGAUUAGUACCAAUAUUACUUGAAAGGUACAAUACUAUUGGUUAAUUAUCAUUAAUUGAUAAUACACUAAUAUCUAAUUUUCCGGAACUUGGGUUUUUAUAUUUCAGGAAACAAUUAAGAUUAAUGGAGAGUUAGUAGUGCGAGAGUUAGGCCGCCUGCUAAACAGCACACAACUAUGUUUUAGCCAUACUUGCAUAGAGAGCAAUAAUUGGCAAAUAAGUCUUUCUUUUCAGUUUCCAAGAAAUGGCAACAUGUUCGAGAAUAUGAUAGAUGUGUUUAUCUGCAGUGAUUUACAUGAUAAUAUUGAGGAUGCGAAAGCAUCUUUGUAUAACAAAGUAGUGGAGCAUUUGGUGCAAAUUCACAGAAUUGGUAUUGCCGAUUAUAGCAGUAGAGAAAGAGACACCAUCUAUGCAGAAUGGGAAUCAAUGCACGAGAAGAUGUGUCAAUGAUUCUAUAUUAACUCUGAUAUUCUAUUUGGUUGGGAAGCUGGAUUGAUUGAAGCAGAAAGACUGUAUCAGGUAUAUGGUUAUAGUUUGAUCGAUUCUGAUCUCAGUGGUAUUGAAAAUACACCAACGAAGGUACGAACUUGGUUUAUAAAUGUACUCAGAGAUAGAGUAUUGAUAUUUAAAGAUGAUGUAGUUGAAAGCAAAGCCAGGCUAAAGAGUUUGAACGAGCAGAGAGACAUCUAUGUAAGCACGGUUAAUGUCAAUAUGCGUGAAGCUAUAAAGGUAUGAGUUGUGACCACAAUCAUUUCUUGCAUGUUCUUCUUAAAAUGAUUGUAGCAUGAUCAAUCUAAAGAUAGAUUUUAUCAUUGUACUUAUUGUUGCUAAUAUAUGUACAAGUGGAGGAGGAUUGUUUCUGUUUCAAAUAAAUUCAUCUUCGAUAAUAUAAUUGAUAGAUCUCAAAAUGAAAAGGCAGAUGUGGAGAUAAUACAAAUGGGAAAUCAUGCGUUUGCUGGUGAGAUGGUACUGCAUGUAGUAGAACAUGACAACAGCAAAGAAGAUGUUCUAUGCAAGAGAAUGUUGGAAACUUAAACGAACCGGAUUUCUGUAAGGAGAAAUCUGACUCCCUGUAUCCUCGUGAUAAUCCCUGGAUCAGUAACUAUCACAUACAGAACUCAUUUCAGCAUAAAUAUCACAUCCAUACCAAUAACAGUACAAUUAAAUUUAUUACAUCCUAGAAUGUGAGAGUACGAUCUGGUACAUGCCCCUUGGGCUUAACGACAUGAAUAAAACCAACGCAACAGUAGCUAGCUUCUGGAAGCAUUCCUAUCUUCACAAUCAACUCCACAGACAUUCUUGAUCGUAGCACUGCAACCCUCAUCGUACCAACUGUCGUGGUUGAUGUCGAAGUCGGACUCAUAACCUGCAAACUCACGAGCUGUCCCCAAGGAUUGGGACAGGUUCACGUCACCAUCCGUAUGCAAGCUUUAAGUGGCCUAGUGCUUGUGAUCAAAAAUAUAUUCAAGGAAUAGGCUCGGGUUUCCUAUGCAGCAAGCAUAAAGAAUAAAACUCCAUAUCCAUCAUCCCAAUCUCUCAACACAUCGGGUACACCCGUCUUGACAGGUUCCCUAUCACCAUCAUCCUAUCUCCAUACUAGGGUCAAGGCAAAGACUCCCUCUUUUUGCCUCUCAACAACUGUAGCCGGAUCCUAAAGGGAAAGGGAGCAACUUCCCCUCUUCCCGACUGCAAUUGCGGCUCACAACACACAAGUAGCUAUAAGGGGGAGGUAGAGAUUUCCCAAAAAUAAUGGAGAGUCAUCGCGACACAGGGUUGUCCAUGACUGAGGACACAGCUAUACUUAUAGUUUUAACUCUGCAGAAUGUGUACACCUGGACCCAUCUUGGAGUGAGACAACCGGGGAUCAGCCGACUAAACAUCACCCUACCGGGCGAAGAACCUGGGAGUUACGAUACCAUCCUACAUCCAGGCUCGGAUGCGAUCCCCCACAGAGGACCACUCCAGAACUAUGAAGCACUCCCACCGGGGCCAAUCGGGGGCAAAAGGUCAGCACCACUCCCCCCUACACUGAUACUCUAUCUUACGGCAGGUAUGGUACCGCACUUGCUAGUCUCAACCCGGGCCUAGACCCAUAAUUCAACGAGUGGCGUGCACGUUUAACAUAUUCCCGUGAAGCAUGGCGACCCACUUGGUUUCAGACCGGGGCGAGCUCCUAACUCCCAAAAGUGUCUCCACAACGUAGUCCGCAACGGCACCCAUAACAGGUAUCACCACCAACUCCUAUGCUCCUCAACUUUAUACUCACAACAAGUACCAAACAGGGAACAUCCGAGAACGGACCCCAAGCCCCCAAUCCAUAGAUUGGGUUGUGUAAAGCUCACCCCCGUCAAGUAUCCCAAAAUCACCUUCUCCUGCCGGUUUUAACCCCACACACGCCAAGAAUCCUAAUCACAAUAUCCCAUACACAUGCAAGCAUCGCACACCAUGCAUAUAAGUAGCAUAGUAGUAGGUCAAACAAGGAUAUAAGGCAUAAAGAAGGCUAUGCAAGCUUUAUCAUCAUCAUGCGAGGAAUAAAGCGCUAGCAUACUAAUUUAGCAAUGCCUAAUGGGUAUUCAAAUAGAAUGGGCAUGAACCUGAGUAGUCUUCCUCCUCAUAGUAGUCCUCAAAUGGCUCUAGCUCUGGGUUCAGCUCCGAGUCUCCGGCAACUCCUAAUUACACAAUUACUAUAAUUACCGGAUGUCUAGUUGCAAAGUAAAUCCAAAAGAGAUCCAAAGAAGAACCAAACAAGAUCAAAGCGUAGUCUAACACGUGUUUCAAUAUUUUACAGAAAUUAUGAAACUGGUUUCAUAAUUUUUGGAAUUAGAAUGACUUAGUUAUGACUCUUUGAAGUUGAAAACAUUUUCUGAAGUUUUUGUAUGAUAGGCAAAAACAAGAAAUCAACGGGGUUAGCUGUUAACUGGUUGUAGGUCAGCUGCAGUCCAGAUGCAAGCUGCCACAAAAGUUCGCAGGUAGCUUUGGAGGGUUUUUAGGCCGGUGGCUAAGCUGUCGUGAGGUGUUUCUAGUUUCUGGGGUAAAAACCGGAAGUUUCAACUUUGGAAAACCGGAAGUUCUGAUUUGGGGUAACUGGAUGUUCCGAUUUUUAGCUCACUCAAGGAGGUCUCCCGGGAAGAACUCUAGAUGCUCUGGAUAGAUCAAAACUGAAUGUUCUCGUUUGGGAACUGGAAGUUCCGGUUUUCUACGAGUAGAUCUCUCCCCUUGGGGAGAUCUCCUGGGAAAGACCUUGGGAUAGUCCUGGGAAGUUAGGGUUCACCAUUCAUGGGUUUGGGGUUCGUUUGGCUGAGACUUUCUAAGGUUUUUGGAGCUACUGCAGGCUGAACAGAGCAGAACUGGAAGUUCCAAUUUUGCCAAGGGUUCGGCCGUGAUGGGCUUUGCGCGCGUGGGAGCGCGCGGCUCAGGCCUCAGCUGCGAUGAAGGUUCAUGCAGGCAAGCGGAAAUCGUGGUGCUCACCUGGUGGGCUUGCUAGUGAGGGAAAGAUGGCGCGUGGUGAGGUGAAGCAGUGAUGGCGGCGCGGGCUUGGCGGCUCUCCGGUGGGGCAACAGCGGUCUCCUCCUCCUCCGACGUCUUCUCCCCGUCUCCUGUGCCCCCCCUCCUUCCUCCUCCUUUUCUCCAAACGGCGACGGGUGAAGGAGAAAACCUCAAUUGUGGAUGAGGCCAGGUGUAGAUGGUGUGGGGGUUCAAAAAGGUGGUGGCUAGGGUUUUGGGCGGUUUGGACGGUAGGGGAUUGUGUCUAGAUGGCGUGGUAAGCAUCCACGGGCGCCAGCGCAAAAGUGGCAAGGGCGGCCGGCAUCGUGCAUGGCGUGCACGUCGCUGUCGUGCUCGUGCCACGCGCGUGCACACCGUGGGGAGGAAAGGGGAAUAGUGGUACGGGUGGCUAACAUGUGGGGUCGAGCAGUCAGCGACUGCAGCGCGGAGGCGGUCUGGGCAGAAAACCGGAGGUUCCAGUUUUGGAAAAUUAGAAGUUCCGGUUUUUGCACCGGCCUUAGGUUGGGUUGUUAAUUAGGUGGGCUGGUGGGGUUAGCUGGGUUGGUUUGGGCCUCGGUUAGAUUUAGUUAGCUUUUCUAGUUUGAUUUAUAUUUGAAUUCCAAUUCAAAUACAAAUCCCACCCAAAAAAUCCAAAUAAAUUCCAAAUGAACUCCAAAUAUUCACACUAGCACAUAAUGCACCUUAGCGAUUCAAUUUAGUUUACAAUAUAAUUCUAAGAAUUUUGGGAAAGGUUCAAUGACGACAAUCUUAUAGUUUGGAAAAAUUCACACCACAUCACAAAAUUUUUGAAAUCCACAUUUUUGCAAAUUCAAACAUGUCGUAAAAAUACGAGAUGUUACAGAAACUGAAAAGAAAUACGACUUUGCAAGUGCAGAAGAAGAUGUGUAUAAAGAAGGCAUUGCAUCCAUUGAAAAUGUGAGGAAUGGUGUUUAUUUUUGACAUAAUUAUCGAUCAAUGGCUAUUGCUAUGGAGGACAAAAUAAAUGGAAACAAAUUGAAAAACAAAAUGGUGGAAUUUGGGUCCAAGAUGAGUUCGAAGUGGAACUCCAUGGUUGCAGCAAUACAAUACAUCCAUACAGUUUGGAGUGAAGCUCAUAAUGAAGUGGCCCAAUCUCGAAACAUCAUAGAUAAACAUGAAAUGACAUCAGAAAUAGUUAACAAUGUUGCUAAUCUACUCACAAGGAGCUCAUAUGGAUUAGAACCUAAUAUGCGUAGAUUUGAAGCAGCAUCUAUUUGAGUAGCUUGUAAGAGUGAAUCUGUAUGUAUAAAACAUUGUAGGCGUACUUGGUGUAAGUUAAGUUUUGCAAUUGUACGCUCAUCCAAGCAUCAUUCAUUUUGUUGUGGUAAAGAAUUAGUUGUACUGAAUUAUAUUUGCAAGAUAUAUAUUUACUUAUAAGUUAUAGUGCAUUAUAUACUAACAAUAAUCAACUGUUCGCCUCAUGACGUGAUGUCUGGAAUGACACCAAUCUACAAAUUUAUGCAUGUAUCACCUCUUUGCGAUGAAACCUUCACAAAUUUGAUGUACGUCAGUAUGUGAAGUAACCGAAAGAAAAUAGAGGAUAGCUGAAGUCGUAAAACAAGGCCACCUGGUGAUACAUGGCUUUAUUUGAUCAGCUGGUAAGCUGCGUCAUGUCAAGGUGCUCUUAAGAGUGAAUGUAGAUAUAACUAGGACCCUCUUCUUUACUUUCAGAAUAAGGUAGCCCUGGUUCUCCAGUUUGGCUAACUCUACUGUUUACUAGGUUUGGCAUCACGAACAAGACUGACUGCUCGGAGCCUCGGAACAACAUAUCUAAAAGUUACUCGAUGGCGCUUGUAUCUUCCAUGAUUAGUUCCAAGAUGUAUGUAAGUAUCUAAUGAGUAUGAGUACUACAAUUUGCAGUAAAUAUGUUUUAGUACUUUCUCUACGCAGUUUCAGCACGGUGCAAGUGUUUCAUUUUGCAUAUAGUAUUUACGAAUGAGGUGAUGAAGUUUUUUCUUUAUACUGAUCAUUGCAGAUCAACGCAAGUAAAGUGGUAGUCAUUCGUCCUCGUGUCAUUUUAUGCAAAGCAGUCAACGGAUUGAACGGAUUUGACCCUGUAUUUACAAACACGUCUACAUGCCUAGAUAAAUUCAAGUACUCCAUUUCAUUUGAUCUUCCAACCUCUGCAGAAACAAAUUAACUGGUGGCAAUCUAUUCUUUAAUAGACACGAUGUUGAAGAUAGCGCUGUUCAAAAUGUUUUUAUGAAAUUGUAUGAAGAAUAUGGAUAUAUAGUAGAGGACUAUAGUUCUAUCCAAGGCAACAUAUGUAGGCUGAGAUACCAUGAUUUCAUUCAUAAGGUAAAUGAAAGCAAGGCUAGAUAUCAGGAAAUCAAGGAUAACUAUUUGAAUGUAAUGGGACAACUUAGAAUAGUGUCCGAUAUGUUCGGCACUGUAGCAUGCAGUUUGGAUCAAUCCAAAGUAAAUCAAAAAUAUAGAGAUGCACUCAUAUCUUGUUCUAAAGAGUUUCAAAGAAUCCGUCAUGCUGGUCUGAAGCAUAUGGAUGGAUUCAACACGCGUGUGUUCCUGAAUUGCGAUGCAGAAAAUUCAUCAUUUUCAACUCGUGAUGUAGAAAAUUCAUCAUCCAACGCAAUUAGUGGUGUCAAACAGGUAUCCAUUAUACUGGGUAUUCCUUUUAUAAUUACGAAUGGUGUGGUAAUAUAAUAGGAAGUUGUUUUACAAUGUACCAUUUGAUUAUUAGUGUAAUGCAAGUAUUCUUCGAUAAAGGUUCACAGAACUGAGGUUAAACAUGCUCUUGGGUGAAGUUGUGAAAGUAAUGGGAUUUGAUAAGCCUAACAUCACAGUAGAUGGGAGCCAACAAUCAUAUAACUACGUGGCAACCGUGAUCAUAAAAAAAAGGUGCAAAUGAAGCAGUGGUGAAAGGAAUUGGGGUAAAUACUUUAUGCAGAGAUUCCCAAUACAAUGCUACCUACAAUGCAUUACUUGUAUUAGAAACGGAAUUCCAUGUGGUCAUAAAGGACGUGAACUAUAGCUAUUAUUUGAUGAUGUUUGGUCGUGUGAAGGAUAUGGAAAAUAUCUUGACCUUAAUUGCUAUUAUCUGCAACGAUGUUGAUGGGGAUCUUUGUCAGAUAGGUUCUCUAGUUAGCAUGAAUGAAUGUAGUAAUAACAUGCUUGUUAAUCAUAGUGAAUUUGGUAGUAUCUGUACUCAGUGGUUUUAGACAGUGAAAACAGCAUUGGAGAGAAAUCAGGAAAUCAUGAGAGCAAAGGUUGCUCUAGUCAUGGAAAAUGCUCGUAUUGGAACUAUCCGGUUUUGACAAGUGACGGUAUCUGAUGAAAGCAGCAUUCUUUACAAUCAUACAUGGUUUGAAAUUAUAUACAUAGUUUGGAUACUGUAAUAAAUCCGAGUAUACUUAAGCCCAAUCGUGUAAUAAAAAUGUGGGCAUCAUGUGUUGUUCGAUUUUGUUUUACAUUGUUUCAUGUUGAUUAAUUCUGUGUGGUAUAUGAAUUAAUUAGUUGUUAUGAUUCGUCAAUUGUUAAUAUGUGUUGUACCACUAUGUAGGCCAUAGGAGUGAAUGAAUGUUAUUUAUCCAUUUACUUUACAAAGAUGCUACAUAUAUUACAAAACCAUAAAUUAAGAUGCGAAUGCAAUAAUAAAAUUCAGGGUCGCAAUCUCAUUAGCUGUAGCAUAGAAGAUCUAAUUUUCUCUGAGCUUAGGUAGCUGACGGGCCACAUAAUUAUUGUGCCUGUUUUAGACACUAUCUAGUUGAAUACUAAAGUGAUUUAGAUUUGGAUCCAGCAAAAUCGCAAUUCUGUACCCAAUAAGAUACAAUGCCACGUUCCUCAACGGUGCAAAACUACCUGUGAAUAGAAAUCGUCUUUUCCUUCGGCCUAAUUGAGGUGGUACUUAGUUUUACGGGCCAAGAAGCUAUCCAAUCCAAGAGACAUAUACUCGUAACAAAUUUCAAAAUUAUAUAAUUGUUUACACUUAAGUAAAUACGCAUGGAAUCUAAGUAUCCCUUCUUGUACAUAUUUUUAUUAAACAUUAUUAAUCUCUUUGUUUCUAUGUACUGCAUUCCUUUUUUAUGAAAAUACUGAAAUAUCCUACUUAAGCGGGGAUUGUACAAGAUGGCUUCACAAUCAUACGAGUAAAUGAAUAAUUUUUUUAUAUAUCACGACAUUACUCUUAACGCCAGGUCUAAUUUACUGCAGUAAAACUUGGCUGAUUCACCUGUUAUUUACCGCAUGUCGUAAUACGAGUGAAACACCAUCCUAAGGUGACACGCAAUGCGUGGUGACAUACGUGUCAUUUUUUUAGAAUCGAAUUAGAUGUGCAUGGCUAGACGCAUGUCGUCCUAUACUGUGAACAAAUAAAUAUAUAGCGUUCCCGAUCCAGCACCGCUAAAAGAAAUUGCAUGCAAGGGAAAAGAUAAACUUGGUAGAAAAUGGAGAGUUCAAGGAAAGCAGAGUUGAAGUUGCUUUUGCUUAGUGUCCAGCAUGAUGCCUCCACCGCACCAGGUAUCAACGCUCCUCGUGUCUCAUUGUCAAUUACGAAUCACGUGUUGUGCAUAUUUUUACUGAAAAAUGUACUAUGCAUGCCAAAAAUAUUUUCCAAUUCUUUAGUUAGUAGUAGGAAAAAAAUCAGAAUCCAUUAUUGCUUUAGAUUCAUGUGCAGGUAGUUGCGUCUUUUUUGGUUGACUAUUUAAUUCGAUUGUCAAUGUUGAUUGAGUUAUCUAUGAUUGAAUUGAUGAGCGGUUGAUUAUUUAAUUCCAUUAUCAACACUGAUUGAGUUAUCUAUGCUUGAAUAGGUGACUGCAAACGGUGGAACACGUAUCUACUGCUUUUUUUUUACGUGAAUCUAUAUAAAUGAGGUUUAAAUAGAUGUUCCAUGUCAUGUAGGCUACUCGAGUUGUAAAGAUUAGUCAUUAACUUUUACUUCGUGAGCUUUGCAAGGAGCUGAAACUGGAUGCUCCAAGUUUUGGAACUGAGUCCUCUAGUGGUACCAGUGUUGUUGGUAGGGUUUAGAUUACGUAUCACAGGUCUGAUGAAGAAACCGUAUUAUGGCGCUACAAAGUUACUGGCUCGGUAGAACCGGAUGCAUCUGCUGCUCUAGAAGUUGUUGCUACAAAAGCAAUUGAAUUUUUAAAGAGUAGAAUUAGCAACGACGUAGAAGAUUUUAACUAUCCAAGAUUCUAGUCUCUGCUUUUUACCCAUGUGUGCCUAAAGGAAAAUGGUGCCUACAGGUACAUCCCAUCACCCCCGCUUUUUUUCGGAAACCAUGCGCACGAUCCCGUUCUAACCGCAGGGAACGCCGCGCCUCCUCACCCCACGCGCCCGGCAUUAUCUGUCGCUUUGCCUCCCGGAGGUCAUGCGCACAAACGUCUCCCACAAGUGGCCCAAGGCGCGCUUCAGGUAAAAAGGGAUACAGAGCUGAAAACGCUCUUACGGCCCAUUACGGUCCAGGGGUUCGAAGGCUAGCCCUCCCAAGGGUUCGACAGCUGCCCCAGGACAGUUCCCGAGCAAGGGGUGAGACAGGACAGGUCCGCUAGUGGCCUCUACCCUGGCGAACGAAAGCCAAGGGCAUCCUGACCUCACGUUCGAGUCCCGACUGGCGAUUAAGUUCAUGGUUUUUCCCCGAAGAAAGGCAACGAGCCCUCGGAUCCGGUCGAACGGAUCCGGGAACUAUAUGAAUUGGCCGUCCAGAACCAGGAAUACGCCACCAGCUUGGCCCAAGCCGGACCCUCCCCCCCUAACGGGGACCGGAACUCCACUCGAACUGAUCCGUUAGCAGCUCACCGAGCACCAUGGUUCGUCCGACGAGGAUAACAUGGCACGGCUCAACCCCUCCGUCCAACCGAACGGAUGCUUGAGGGGCAACGAUUAAAAGAUGAUCCGACCUCUCGGUCGGUCUCCUGCAGCGCACGGGGGCUCAAGGGCUGGAAUCGCAAAGAAACGGCCACGCGUGUGGUCAUGUUCAGUCAUCAGGCAGGAGUGAUAAGCGGGACAAUGGGAAUCUUCCCAAAACUGCACCAUCCUCAGAGCACCCUGCCUGCCCGAAACUCCCCGAUCAGGCCAACGGCGAAACGUUUUCCCUGACCAAACCCAGCUACGGGUUAGACAAAGACUCCAGACAAACACUCUGCCCAGAGCCAAUCAUAGCCUCUGGAGGAGCACCUCACUCCACCAGAGGCUCGGGGGCUACUAUCGGGGAGAAAUAUUAAUGACCUCCUUAUGCUCCCUAAUCAACGAUCGUAAGGGCCAGGGCCCACCCCCAGCAUCCGUAAUCUCCACCGACCAAACACACCCUGGAGGUACCUCGCUCCGCCUCGCCCGACCCCGAACGCAAGGGGUCGGAUGCGCCCGACCCCUCGAAGCAAGACUCCGCCUCACCCAACCCAAGGCGCAAGGGGUUGGAUGCGCCUGACCCCUCGAAACAAGAUUCCGCCUUGCCCGACCCCGGGUGCAAGGGGUUGGACGCACCCGAUCCCUCGAAGCAAGACUCCACCUCGCCCGACCCCAGCGCAAGGGAACGGAUGCACCCGAUCCCUCGAAGCAAGAAUCCACCUCGCCCGAAGGCAUGUGCAGGCCAUCAAACGGAGGCACAGGUCUUGUGGGUCCCCCGGAUCUCACCAAAACAUAAUCGAUGGGACGCGCACGCUCUAGGAUACGAUUCUGACACAUGGAGAGGUGCCCGCAUUCUUCGACAUGACCUGUCGGAAUGAUGGGCUGCACACUGCUGCCACGAUAGCAUAGGACUACAACUGCACCGCCUUAUCCCUCUGCGACGCCUGUCAUAGGGCACUCAUCGCCCAUACUGUCUAAACGAAGGAGGGCAAACCGCCUGGUUUCCUGCGCAGCCUCGCAAGAAGUGCACAUCAACCGCACCGCCCUGUCAGAACACAUGACUAUAGUGGCCGGCCGCUUCCUGCCACUUACACGGCUAUAGUGGCCGGUCGUCACCACCAACUUGCGCGGCUAUAGUGGUCAGCCACCAUAUGUGACUCGCGUGCUCGGCUACAGUAGCCAACCGCCAAAUCAUCGAUGGGACCCAACAGCAACCGCCCUUUCCUAGUAGCAGUACCGACAAGACGCAGAGACAAGAAAGGAAGACGGCUUCUCCGGUAGCUCCUCCCGCUUUCUUGUUUUACCUUUUUACCUUUCUUACUCCCGGCUCAUUUUGUAACCCCUGUGUCCUCCUUACACUAUAAAAGGGGACCAGGGGCCCGAGGGAAAAGGAGAGGCCCGAACAACAGAACAACACCGAACGCACACAACAGCUCUCGUAGAAUCCUAGUGCUCAAGACACUUUGAGCAUUGGCAACACCCACAGAGACCUAGGAACCAGCUUCCCUCUCUCACCCGUUUGUAGACCCUACUGCAAACUUGGUACGAGUAACACGAGCAGCCACCCACACUGGAUAUAGGGCUAUUCCUGCUUGAACCAGUCUAAUCCACGUGUCCUCCCGUACAACCAUCCGAGCCUAACGCGUAGAGAAAACAAAUUUACUAAGCUGGUAGUCUCGACCCGUGAUUCUUGACACCAACAGCAGUAGCUAGAACCUGUAAAAGUAGUGCUUGACUUCAUGUAGUGGAGUCAGAACGCUGUUAUAUUACGUAGUGUGUGUGAAUCAAAUGUGGAUCGCUUAGUAAAAAGUACUUGCAAUAUAUAAAGCAUGCAAAUCACUAUCUAAGUUCGAUCAUUUGCAAAACAGUGUAAAAUAGAGUAGUAGAGCAACGCUGGAGCACUGUAAGAAGCAGUUUGUAAUUUUAAUACCUUUUCUAUUAUAUAUAUGUAUAUAAGUAACAUUAUCUAGCAUUUUUUUAAAUAGCGAUGAAUCAUCAUUCAAUUGUUUGCUACAUUGCUCUAUUUUCCAAUGAUGAAGCCUAAGACCUAAUUGCAAAAUUAAGCAUGAAUUCAAGUGUAAUUCGGGGACUUGAGCAUGCAAGUAAGCACAUUAAGAUCUAAUCUGGAAACAUUAAUAUAAAUAAUCAAGAAAUUAGACUUAUAGCCGAAUUUAAGCAUAAACCCCAAAUAAUUUAGAGCUAAUAGCACUUGAAAUUGCACUUGUUCAUUCCAGUGUCUUUGAUUUCUAAUAUACAUUGUUUAUAUUGUACCAGUCGUACCUCAAAUCAGAAACACGCUAAUUCCUGAAAUCUAAGCAUGCCAUUUCUCACUAAUUGUACUAUGGUACUAUUGCUCAUUGUGAUAGGUAGAAGCUUUUGAAGGAUCAUGGCCAGCGAAGAAGGUCGCGUGGAUUAGUCGAAGGAUUUUAUUUAAUGAAGUGUGCACCAGUUUGAAUAUCUAUUCACCUUUAUACAUUCAAGAUUAGCUUCUGGUGGCAUGUACUUUGGAUUAGUUGUCAUCUACAUUUCCAAUACUGGAAACCCCGAUGGAAUACGAUCUUGCAGAUUGACCUCCCGAGCCUGAAAAAACCUAGGAAGAAGCGCUAGAAGCUGCAGCUGUUCUAGAUAUUAAACCCAUAAAGCGUGAGCUUAACAUUGAAAUUGAUGAUCUGAGCUAUGAAGCAAAAGAAAUUCUUGAAGAAAGGCAAAAAGUUUUCAAAACUCAGAUGUCAAGACUUGAUGCAACAUCAGCUGAACUGAUAAAGCAGGGAAGGUCAGCAAGAAACAUAUGGGCAACUACGCUCAAAGACAUGAAAGGUGUAGCUAAUAUGUGUGCCAAUGGUUCCAUUGUGCAUCAAGGAGCAGACGAGAACGUUCCACUACACUCUGAUGUUGUGGAUGGCGGUAUUGAUCCAAAUCACAUCAAAAUCAUCCUUAAGCAGUGUGCAGAUGCUAUAAUUGAAGCACAUGGUUGUCUCGAAGCUGACUACAAUAAUAAUGGGUAUGUAAAGAGGAGUGACUUAGAUUUUAUUUCGAUACUACAUUGAUUAAUUCAAUGGAAUGAUACGUUAAAAUAAUUGCAGAUGGCCCCAGUAAUGGGAAGGAAACAAGGAGUGAUACACUGAAGAUGCAUACUCUAUGAACACCAAUGAAGUUCUGUCAUAUAAAUAUGAAGUUAGUUUAAAUCGUCAUCGUUGUAUCUGCAAGUACACUACAUCCGGUCUCAAAUAGUCUAUGUAGUUUGGAAGUCUAUGUAUUCUAAAUAAUGUAAACUCCGCAGUGGAGUAGCUAGUUUGUUAUGUCUAUAUAUUAUACAAUGCGUGUUGUGUGCACACCUUAGUAUUACUGCAUCAGAUGCUACUGUAAAUUUGAAUAAAUUAGUUUGCAUAUCCUUGUGCCUGCGCAGAUUUUAUACGAUUUUAUUAUUUAUUAAUCAAAAUUAUUAGCACAACCAAUUUAAAUAUAAUGUGAUUAUAAUUUAGAUUAUUGACGUAAGUAUAAUUAAAUUAGAAACCUGUACAGAAAAGUGUGCACACAAAAGUUCAAAGGAUGUGUAGAGUGUGAGAGUCAAAGUUUGGUAAUACAAACUUGGAACGUUAAUUAUUAAUUCAAAAUAAUUGUCCAAAAUUUGCAUUUAAUACACAUUCAUCGACUAAGAAAUGAACACUACAGUCUCAUUUGUGAUUUAAUCAGCAUCUUCAUCUAUCUGCGAAUUAAAGCCAUGAUUCUAAAUACUAAUCCAGGUGGGUCCUCAGCUGAUGCGCCAUCCAGAUUGUUCACACUCAUUAAUCCUAAAUGACACACUGCAGCAGCGCACCGCAAGACAGUAUCGUUAGAAUUGGAAAAAAUAGAGAGAGAGCAACUUAAAUCUAUGAAACAACAUUUCUAUUCUGCACAGAAACUCCAAUGAAUCGGAUCUGGUUACACACAAUGAAACAAGGUCAACAAAAAAUUGGAGUUAUCGAACCCUAUGUUCAGCAUUUUUAGCUCUACAAUUACUGUCAAUCCUGAUGUCGCAAACCAUGUGAAAACCCCUCCAGCAUAGUACAUGAUAUUCUUCUUGAAAAUUCCAACAAUCUGAGUUACCAUCAACUUGAAAAUGGAAGAUGAAGUCUAAAAACGUAGUAGUGAUGUUCCUGUUCGAAUAUGUCAAUACACCCUUAUAAGGUACUCGAAAAAAAAGAGGAAAGUAGGAUAUGGAUUGGCAGCGAACGGCAUACUGUUCGUAUAAGUAACUUAAAGUUGAAACAUAUAUUUUCUAAGAAAAACCGAAUCAAUUCAGAAAUACAUCACAGAUAAAGCGUGGAUUUCACAAAGACAUCAACUACGAAAUAACUACUAAGAUCCACUAAAGGGAUAGAUCCCAUUCCCUUUCCAUUCAAGCUAAUACUUUCUUCUUCAUGUGGACAUGAUUCCUUCUCCCCGCGAUUUGCAAAAGUAUAUGAAGAUGCAGACUUCCUAUGCCGCCUCCGGUAGAUUGAAAUAAAAACGCAUAUUCUUUAGAUUUUAAUUAUCUAAUUCCACACUUUGCUCAUCUUCAAUUUCACCAAAAGCUGCUUAAUACGAGUAAUGUAAAAGUUAAACAAAGAAAUGAAGUUCAAGCAAGUAAAGGAAACGUAGCUCAUGGUAACUUAUCAAACAAUUCAAAUGAAAUACUCUUGAUUUUACUAAAAAGACAUAGAAGCUAGAGGACAAUUAUGCAAACCUAUAUAAGCAUCUAAACUAAAACUUCUAGUGCAGUAAAAAAAUAGAGAAUAGAAUCGAAAGCUGAAUCUUUGUAGAUCGGUAAUGGUGAUACCAUAAAGUGAAUUGGAGUAACUAAAGCGCACACAGCUCAUGAUAACCUACAAAACAAUCCAAAGUCAGUACUUUUGGUCCUACUUCAAAGGUGCAGAACCCAAAGCACAACUAUGCGAACCUAUGUAAGCAUUUAGAUCCAAACUGCCGGUACAAUAAACAAACUAAAAGAUAAAACUAGAGGCCGAAUCAUUACAUACCAUUAGUGGUGCCACCGUGAAGUGGAGUAUCCGUAGGGAGUAUAGUACCAUCACUAUUAAGUACACCAAGUGAGAAAAUUUUUGUCACUUUAGGCCUUGGUGUCGAGUGACCACUUUCUUUAAAUCCAGGGUAUUCGUCAUCAGAAUCACUCAUAGUUGGAUCUGGUAAGUAAUCACCAUCAUCCGACGAGUCUGAUGAAUCAUGCCAAUCAUGAACCUCAAGAACCUUAAUAGCAACUCAAUAUCGCAGCCCACGUUGUUCAUGCUGUAUAAUGUCCUCUGGUCGCAAAUAUAAAUCUGCACCAGCAUUCGGAUCAUCUAGCUCUGGUAUAAAAAUAUCAACCUCGUUAGGCAAUUUGUCAGGAUCAACACACUAGAUACACCUCUAAAAAUCGUCAAGUCAGCUUUUGACAAUGUGCCUAGAGUUGGCUUGAAACCACUGCAUGAUCCACCAAGAAUGCGCUCCACAACGGGUAAAGACCGAGCAUGUGAUGGAAUCCCCUUCAACUCUAAAAGUGUUCGUUAUAGCAAACAGAUUGAUGGCUCCAACAUUUGAAUUUGAAUACCAAGUCUACUACUGCCAAAGGAGGUGCAUGGAGGACACGCUCUAAUUUCUGAUGCUCAGAAAAUAUAAUCAAGAAAUUUUGGUCAUAGUAAAGAUGCAGAGUGUAGUCAUUCUCUGUGAGUGCAUACCUCUCCUGGAGAAGUGUAUGUACUUCGGCAACUGUAAAUGAUGAAUAGUCUCCAAUAGCAAUGAUAAUAAGAGCAUUUUGCAGCAAUUGCUCCUCUGCAACAAUAUGUGGCAUUCUAGGAACAACACAAACUUCCAAUGCUAGACAUCAUGAUGGAUGUCCCCUUAGAAGAGGUUAUGGAGACGGUGACUUCUCCCAAGAGUGCUGAGAAAGAAAUCCCUUGUCAUCUAAUUAUGCUCUUGUCGAUGCACCAACCGAAGAUAACGUCUCAGGGUGUGUAGUAUCAGAGGGUAAAGUCCGCUGAACAACUACUUUUGAUUCCAUCAAGCUUAACCUAUAAAUAAUAUCGUCUAGAGGCCAUGUUGGAACCUUCAUCUCCAAAAGCGCAAUGGUCCUCUUCAUUGCAUCGAUCUCCUCCCGCUGCCUUGAACACAUCUCUCUAAGGAGGUUUACCUCACCCCUAUCACCGAUUACUUCAUUAUGUGUCAUAGUUUUACACCAAUUAUUGAAGACCAACAAAUGUACAACCGAAUCAGUUGCACCCAACACAUGAACUGAGGCUACAAAUAAGAGCAUAAAAAAUAAGAACAUAAUAUCAGAGAAGGAACCAAUGAACUAAAACUAAAAUAGAUCUACCCACAUAAACAAGGGAGAACGAUCUGACACAAUGCAUUAGACAAAGCAGUAACCACAAUGGCACCAAAUGAAAUAAGAUAAAGCAUCGCGGUAAUGCAACAUUCAGGGCAAACCAACAAGAAGGCAACAUGGAAACACAAUAUCGACAGAAGAAAAUAAAGAAGAUAGGAUUUCGAUCGCAUACAUCGCUUAUCACCCACCAAGAAGGUAUGGAAGAAGAGCGGAACCGGUGACCAAGCUUCCACCGAUGGGACGAUUUGCAAACCGCGAAAGAAGCUUGGUCAAAGACGUGGCGGUAGCGUUGAAAAUCAGCGGUGGAGAAAGGAAGGAGCGAGACGAUAAUGGAGACGAAUAAACAAAGAAAGGGGAACGGUGUCUCGGAAUGCCCCUACUAUUGAUGUGAUGGGGGACUCUUUAGAAAAUUAUCUGCCGAAAUAGUGCCUCCACCAAAGGAGAGUGGCAACAGUUCUUCAAAGAAGAAGGGAGCCGAUGCCUUGCGGAAAUGGCGCAUCAAAGCCGGUAAGGCUAUGUUCAUGCUUAAGACAACUAUUGUGGAGGACCUACUGGAGCACAUCUGAGAUGCGGAGACCCCAAAGGAAGCUUGGGAGACUCUGGGGAAAUUAUUCUCCAAGAAGAAUGAAGCACACCUCCAGCUUCUAAGAAAGAGCUUGCGGGUAUCUUACAAGGCACUAUGAGCAUUAAUAACUACUUUACUAAGGUGAAGAAUAUAUGUCAGGAGAUAUCUCAGCUUGACCUGGAGGAGAAGGUCAGCGAAGCUCGGAUGAGAAGGAUCAUCAUCAACGGCCUAAGACCCGAGUACAGUGGGUUUAUGGCUGUAGUGAGUGGAUGGCCAGUACAGCCAUCCUUGGUGGAGUUGGAGAACUUAUUAGCUAAUCAGGAGGCAUUAGCUAAGCAGAUGUGCAACAUCACUUUGGAAGAGAAGGAUGAAGAGGAGGCGCUCUUCAUCAGAAAGAAGGGUUCACCAAGAGGCCGAGGAGAGGCGAAGGAGUGGACAAGAGGUGAUAGGAGUUGCCCAAAGAAGAGCAGCUAUUCAGGGGGAGCUCAAUGUAACAACCAGACUGUUAAAGGCUUAAGAAUGAUUCUUAAAGUGUUAAAGGUGAAAUUGGGAUGAAAAUAAGAUAUUGGGGCCAAAGUCAAGUUUGGGUCAAAUUUCACCAAAAAUACAAAUUAAGAUUCAAAACCAAAGAAAUUCGACAAAAAUAUGAAGUCAAGCCUUGAAGGUAUUUAGAAUUCAAAGGAAUCAAAUUGGAAGUAAAAUUCAAGUCAUAAGCACCUCAAAUUCAUAGUCAAAGAUGGAUUGACUUGGAAGUACUGUUCAUGGUCUGAAAAUACAAGUCUGAAAUUAGUGACAAUUAGCCAACUUUGAAUUUAAUUUCUAGCAGAAUUUUCAUUGAAGCUAGGAGAUGUUUUAGAACACAAGAGGACUCUGAUCUAUAGUGAAUCUAUUGGACCUGUUAUUGGUCAGAGAAAACAAAGAAUCCAUAUUUUAAAUAGGGUUCAAAGUUUGAAAGUUGUGCAGUUUUCAACUUAGCUGCUGAAUUGAAUCUAAGUCUGAAAAUAGUGUCAAGUAUGCAACUUUGAAAUUCAUUUCUGGAGAAUUUUUUAUAUACACUCUGAAAGACGUUGAAUCCUAAGUGAACUAUGAUGUCCAAUAAAUAUUUUGAGCAUGUUUUUGGACAAGGAAAGAGAAGGAUUCAAAUUUUUCUUGAAGCUCAAAUUGUGAAUGUUACCCUGUCAGUUUAACUGACGAAGCUGAAUGGCAGUCGCCAUUCAGUCCUAAGGACGGUGCAAAAUUGCAAUUUUUAGCUUGAGAUUUUGGAAGAAAUUGUAUGUAAGGGUUGGGCUUUCAUAUGUGAAAUGGAACCCCUGUCCUAUGGUUGACAAGAUCCAGUAGUUGUUGGGCAACAAAAAUUGAGUUUGAAUGGUUGAAUUGGAGAUCAAAGUUGACACCUCGGACUGUCGGGUGGUGUCUGACGAAACUGAAUGCAGAAGGACGAUUCGGUGCUAAAUGACAGAACCCUAGCCCAAUAUUGGAGUUAAAAUUCGCGGGGAUGGAGUGAUCUUUGGCAAUUGAGGCAAAUCAAUCAAAUGUAGAGCACAUGAUCCUCUACAAUUUUGAUUAAAGAAAUUCUUGGAGCUUGAAUUGGGUUUUGGUCGCAAAAGUGAGUUGAUUUACAGUGGAAUUUGGGGAAAGAAGGGGAGGAACAGAGUCGGCCGGUGCUACCAGGUUGUUCGCCAUUGAUGUCAAGAGCGGCGCCGCUGUGCCACGUGCCAGCACCGGCAAGAGGCGUGAAAGCAAGCAGCAAGCAGGAGGUGGCGCUCGGGAAGGCGGUAAAUCUUUCAUAUAAUUACCGCUCCCGCCGGCGAGCGUUAUCCGUUUAUUGCAUGCUCUGUUUUUUCACCUUACUCUCGAUCGCCGUCCUACUCCGCCGUCAUUCCCCCAUUGCUAGCCACUCCACCUCACCAAGAACCACCGCCAUGAGCUCCUGAGCUAGUCCCGUCAGCCGUUGUCUAGCUCUAGUUCCCACAGUCACCACCCCCGUCGUCUUCUUCCUCAGUGCCGGCCGCCGCUCGGGUCUGGUAAGAGCGCUGCCGUGGAGAGCUUGGUACAGAAGCUAUGGUCGUGUUCCGGGGGUUUGGGUAGGUCAUGUAUGAGCUCUAGAUGGGUUAAGUUGUGCUUGUUGGCUUGGAGUUCCACCGGCUUGGCCGGAACACUCACGCUGCCAUGCGCCAAGCUUUGGCUAUGGCCGCCGCCGUGGAGCCUUCUGCUCCCGCCGCGGGGUGCUUCGGUUCGAGGGCGUGCUAUGUUGAUAGGGCCGUAGUAGAGCUGCCGGUGCCGCUUGUUGCCUUAAGGCUGCCGCCAGCAAGCUUUGCGCUGCCGUUCGCCUAGCGCCGCCCGCACCGUCGUCUGCCUAUCGCCGUCGUCGUCCACCCAAUCCACCCCAAGAACACCACCAGUAGGUGCCCAUGGUCUAGGCAAGUUUAGUGGUGCGGUCCCCAUUGUCGGAGACCUCGCCAGCGACGAGCCGCUGCGAUUACCCACCGGCUGGUCCUCAGUCAAGACCGGGCUUGGGUCUGUUUACCCGGGGGGCCCCGUGUCAGCGUGUGGGGGUAGGCUGUGGGUGAGUAAGAAAAGUCCAAAGAGAGGGGGUUCGGGAUAAUGUUAGUUUUAAUUUUUAGAAAAUAGAUUUAAUUCCUAUUUUCAUAUUUAAAUCAUUAUACACAACAUGAUCUAUUGUGCAUAGCUGGUGAUGAGGUAUCUCCUACAGGAUGUAAAUCAGUCCGGAUCGCCGCAAUUCUCGGUUAUGAAUGCACUUGAUCAUCGCUUAAGCAUUGUAGAAUAAUCAAGUUGAAUAUAAUGUUUUUCCUGGAAUUAAUAUGUUGUAUGACUUAGUUUCAUUUGUUUGCUUAAAAAUGUUUUAAUUCACCUAAAACGGUUAGGCAAGAACUAAUAUGAAAUAAAAUGAUAAAAGUAAGGUCCCACUAAUAGUAAGCUUUUUCGUAAAAUGUGAAUCAGCCAGUACACCAUAAAGCUAUCAUACAAUAUUUUUUUAUUAACCUUCCUAUAUUGGUUUGUCGGGUCAGUCUUGUUGAAUACCCUCGUACUCAAGGGAUCCCUUGUUGUUGUUUUCAGAAGCACAGCAGGGGACAACCAAAGAAGAAGUUCCGAAGAACUAGGGUAUCUAAAAGUCUCAUAAUACCCUAGAAUAAAACCUAGUUGUAUAAUUACGUUUUCUUAGACUAGUUUUAUGUUUAAAACUCCUAGCAAUGGUCUAUUAUGGCACUGUUAAGUUUAUUUCAAUCUACAGUUUGUAAUAAUUCGUACCUUCUGUAUGUAUGUAAAAAUGUAAUAUUUAUAGAUGCUUUCCCUUCGUGGAAGCGAUCCUAAUGUAUGGCUAUGAAACACGUUGUGGAUGUUUUGAGGUGUCCUAUGGACACUCAACGGACUACCGGACUUACUGUUUUAAGUGUGUUUCGUAUAAUUGCUAUUCCGACAGCGAUUAGGCACACUUAAGCCAAUUUAACUCGGACGGUUCCGCCAUACUCAACAAGAGAGCAAUGACGAAGAUGAUGAAGAGUUGGUCAAGAACGAGAGGAGAAGAAGAGGUGAGUGCUUCAACUGUGGCAACUGUGGCAAGAAAGGGCAUCGUGCAUGGGACUACUGGAGUCUACGAAGGUACUCAGAAGGAAACGUGGCUACAACCAAAAAAAGUUAUCCUGAGUGGGUGGCUAAGCGAAGAAGAGUGGGAUGGUGUGGCAGCAGCCACAAUUGAAGAUGAUGGAACUUACUUCGUGGAAGACUUGACAGAAGGUGAAACUCCAUCAAAUAGCGUUGAAGAAAAGGAAGAAGAGUGGGAUGCAGAAGGUGACUUCUCCAUAGAGGUGAGAGAUCCGGAUACUUUAGAAGGAUUCAUAGUAUUUGGAUAUGAUAAUGAUGAAGAUUGAGAGGCUCUAAGCGAUGAGGAAGAAGAUAUUAAAAAGCGAGCACAUGACGCUAACUUUUGGACAUGGGCGUUCUUCCUCAUUGUUUCUAUGGUACAUCAUCAUGUGUCGCAGUUUCAGGAGGCAAAUAGAUGUGCUUAUACAGGUGCCACGACUGGCACGACACAUGUGUAGUGUGUUUCAGUUCGAAUGUUCGAUGAUUCUCCACAUCCCCAUUUUGGCUGCGUCAAAUUGAGGAGCAUGCUUCAGCUUCGAAAUACAUGAGACCCACAAUAUUUGUUAGCUAAGCUUUCUCGUUUUUAAUUUGCUCCCUGGACUUCACCGUCUGUAUUUCCAAUGACAAGCCUGCCAUCCUGGUGAACUCGCAUUUGGGCAUUUGGCAACUUAAUUUUCGUCAGAAAUUUUAUUUUCGGUAAUUCUCCAACACCUCCAGGUCAACGUGCCUUUGGCAAAGAGUAUCAAGUUUAGUUACUCUGAGCUUAGGAUCCAGUCUCAGAUCUGAAAUCUUUCCCUUUUUCUUUCUCUUUUGUUUUGUCCCUGGAUUUGUUGUCUUUGUGUCCGCGUGGUAGUCGUACUCGUACGUGGGCUGAGAUGGGCACAUAGGGACUACAUGGGCCAAAGUAGCGCCUCUUUUCUAGCUUAAGGGCCGGCCUGAAGCUCAGACUGCCCUUGGGCCUUUGGCGAGCAGGUGUUAAGUAGCCUAGUUUUGUAUUUUUUAUUUAAUUCUUUUCAUAAGAAUCCAUUAUUUCAUUCCAGUAAGUCUAGUGGAAAAAUGGUAUUGCUACAUACCGAAUAAGAACCACUACUUGUUUGUGGUGAUGAAAAAUCCUUGCUACAAGUCUCACACAAUUCAAAGAGUAUAAAUAAACUUGCUUCUUUCUCUUCAUUCAUAAAAACCUAAGGGUGCGUUUGGUUCGAGGGACGAAGUGGGACGGGACGGGACGAUCCCACUUCGUCCCGUGUUUGGUUUGGAGACAGGUGGGAUGGGGACAUCCCUAUGAGGGAAUAUACCCUCCAGAUGCGGGAUGCCCCCAUCCCACCAAAACGAGCGGACGGGGGCAUCCCACUUCGCCCCCGUCACGCGCCGUUUGCGCGGGUGAGCUCCGGGCGAGCGCAGCCGGCGCGGGCGGGAGCUCCGGCGCGGCCGGCGCGGGCGGGCGCGGCCGGGAGCUCCGCCGCCGCCGCCGGCGCGGGCGGGCGCGGCCGGGAGCUCCGCCGCGGCCGGCGCGGGCGGGCGCGCCCGGCGCGGGCGGGAGCUCCGGCGCGGGCGGACGCUCCGCCGCGGCCGGCGCGGGCGGGCGCGGCCGGCGCGGGCGAGCGCGGCCGGCGCGGGCGGACGCGGCCGGGGCGCGACGUCGGCGGGCAUGGAGCAGGGGAGGCGGGGUGGAGCAGGGGCGGCGGCGGCGGCGGCUCUGGGGCGGCUGGGGCCCUCGGCCGGUGGGGGCGAGCGCCCUGGGCGGCGCGGUCGGGGCCCGACGUCGGCGGGGGCGAGGUCCCGAGCUGCGGGAGAGGACCGGAGGAGGCCGGCGGGAGAAGAUAAGGCCGGUGGGAGAAGAUAAGGAGAAGAUAGGGAGGAAGAAGAAGACGUUGUUAGUAUGACGAGUGGGCCCCACAAACGGUGUCUAACGGAAGAAGAAAACGGUGCUCAUCCCGUCUGUCGCAAUCUCUCCAACCAAACAAAAAAUUAGGACGACCCCAUCCCAUUCAACCAAACAAGAAAUGGGAUCAUCCCAUCCCGAAAAACUGGGACGGGAUCGUCCCGUUCUACAUUGUCUCCCAACCAAACGCACCCUAAGAUACAAAGAUCAUAUAGUGUGCCGUGAGCAAGGUUAGUUCAUAGAUGCAAGAGAGCAUGAUAGAAAGGUUAAAGGCACGUUUGGUUUGCUUGCAAAAGGUACCCUGCCAAAUGCGGAUGCGGCCGCACUGAUUUGGCUGCCACUUGGUUUUACUGGCAGUGUGGUGGCAUGCCAAACUAUGUGUGUCCGCAUUGGUAUUGCGCGCGGUUCAUUUCCCCCUCCCAUGGGUUGGCACAUUAGGGGCAUAGGAAUCGACCGUCCACGUGUGGGCGUGCCUAUGGUUAGCAAGGUGACGCCGUGUCAAAAUCAAAUACGUCCUAAGAACAGCCAAGGAAAUUAUGAUGUAGUGAUAUAAUAAGUAUGUUAUUAAUCUAGGGUUCACGAUAAUCUGGCAGAUAAUCAUGGAUCAGUGACAAUAUUAUUACUCAAUUGUUUAGAAAUAAAAUAAUAUUAUUGAUAAUAAUCUAUGUAUGAUGGUGUUAAAGAAGUAUAAUUGUUAGUAGAUGUCUACACGAUUACUUCACUGAGAGAGAAAACCCCGGCUGAGGGAGCACAUAGGAGCAAGCAACUGAGCAAGGCAGUAUUCCCGGGCAGGGCUGGCCUUUUCCUACUUGAGCAACCUCUCUUGUUUUUACAUCUGAGCAGCUUCACUUUAUGCAGCAACACCUGCAGGCUACAACCAAAAGCAGCAAGACCUUUCUACCACCUCACACCAUCAUCCCCUUUCUUAUUUGUUUUCCUCUUCUGGACUGGGACCCUCCCUCCUCUCUCUAUCAUCACCCUCCUUCCUCUGGAAGGCAAAAAAACCUCUCUCCCCCAGCACUCUCCUCCCGGCCGCCACCAUGUCAGGCCUCUACAGCCAGGGCUUCUCCCCUGCAAGAACCCUCUCCCCCCAGAUUAGGAGCAACCCCGAUGCUGACAGGUACUGCUAAUUUCUGACCCGAUUUCUCUCCACUGAUUCUUGAUCCGAAGAUUGCAACUCCAGCUGCUUCUUUUCCCCCACUUACCCUUGCGAUUGAUUGGUGGCGCGAUUCUUGCUUCGCUUCUUCGCAGCCAGUACUUGGCCGAGCUUCUCGCCGAGCAUCAGAAGCUGGGGCCCUUCAUGCAGGUGCUGCCGAUAUGCAGCCGGCUGCUCAACCAAGGUGAGAUCUUUUUGAUCCCUCGCUUACUGUUGCUUGCGGAUUGGUGAGAAAUCUUUUUGCGGAUGAGUGUCAGACUAUCGGAGAGGGUUCGUCUGCAAUCGAGAUUGGGGAAUCGCUUGGCUCCAAUGCUCGGAUGGCUGCUGAUCUUUUCCGGCAGCUGAUGUGUUGGGGGAGAUAGUAUGUGUGGUGAUGGGAUAGAGUUGGCAAGCCGCCAUUGAUUUUUUUCGUAGCCGGCAUACAAGAACCUUAUUAGUCUUAUUGACCCGAAUACCCGAUUGGGGAUUGCCAAUGAAUUGGCCUUUGAGUGAUGCAGUGACUUUUUUUAUGGUCUUGCUAUAGCAACUUUUGUAGUUUGUUACUUGAUACUGGUUGAUAGAGCAUCUGUAGCUGAAAACAGCGGUCAGCCCAAUAAUUGGGGAAGGUUCAUUUUGGGGAUGACAUCCAUUGUUGAUUGCAUCUUCAUCGCUUGCAUUGUGCAGAGUUAUUAGGUUGGUUGUAUGUCAUACUACUUUGCAAUGCAUUGGAUUUUGAUCAUCUUGUUUAACAAAAAUAAUUUGUUUUCAUUUGGGAAAAUCAUUAGCUAGUAUUUGAGAUGUUUCUUUUAUCUUUCUGUGUGGUGCUUGUGGAUCACCUAGUGCAUCUUCUCUCUAUGCACGAAGGCUGGAGCUUUCCGUAAUUAUCCAUAAAUGUUGAAUACAUAUUUUUAUCAUGCAUGAGGAUUUAUCUCCUCUAAUGUUUUUCAAGCAUGGCCUACAGUUUUACCUAAGUAAAUGGACUGUGCAUACGGCUGGAUUGCACGACCCCGUACAACCAGCACAGGCACUGUUACCUUUUCUGCACUGAGCAGUGGGCUGUGACUUGGUCCGUUGGCCGCAAGCACAGGCCAUACAUCCUGGUGACCUGAUCGUAUGUGUAGCAAAGUCCUUUUCUUAUUAACCACAUAUCCCUUGUAGCCACUUUAACCUUUACAGUUGCCCUUUUUUCAAUUUUCAAAACGGGAAGUGAUCUUUUCCUUUAAUAUGACCUUUUAUAGGGCCAAACUGGCCUUUUUAGAAUGAUAAUUAAAAAUUGUGUAGAGAGAACUUUAGUAUACUGUAAGAUAGCUGGAUUUAGAUAUAAAGACUAGACACCUCUUGCAGAAACUGAACCUUUGGGCUCCCCUCAAAAUGAUUGAGCUGUUAAAGUCAUGCGGUGCUACUUCUGAAAAGGGUUUUUCUCCUUUCAUCUUCAGUAUUAAAAGAAUGAAUAUUUUAUCUUAUUUUAGAUUAGGAUUUUCCUCUGCCUGGUGCAUAUAUGGAUUUUUGACAAAACCCAUCACACUAUCUAUCAAAAAGGAAAGUUGAAGGCACCGACCAGACGGAAGUAUGCAAUUUAGUUGACCACAGAAGUAUAUAUGACACUCUCGAUCGUAUGUCACAUAUUUUUCCGCUUCCACUCUUUUGCUACAUACUGCAAUUGAUUUGAUUACAGCAAGCAUUAACAUUUUGUAGCAAAUUCUUGAACCCUUCCCCAUUCUGACUAGUAGGUUGGCUGAUUCUUUUUCUUUCAUCAUUUGUGUUACUUAGAAAUCAUGCGGGUAUCAAGCAUGGUUCACGACCAUGGAUUCAGCGAUUUUGACAGGCGUCGGUUUAGAAGUCCCAGUCCUAUGUCUUCGCCAAUUGUCCGCCCUAAUCUGCAUGGCAAUGGAUUUGGUCCUUGGAAUGGGAUGCCCCAAGAGGUAGGCAUAAUAUGUUGAUCACUUUAAUAAAGUUCCUCUUUUGACAAGAUUUCUUCAAUAACCAUCUUUUUUAUGUGAUAUUUUUUGGAUUUGCAACUCUAUUUCAGAAUCAGUGAUUAGUUUUUUUAAUAUAACAGAGAUUGGGCUUUCCUCCUCCUGGAACAAGUAUGGACUGGCAAGGAGCACCACCAAGUCCUGGCUCCUAUAUUGUGAAGAAGAUUAUACGCUUGGAAGUUCCCGUUGAUUCCUACCCUAAUGUAUUGCCUCCCACAACCUAUGUAGUUAGUACUGAAUGAUGUUCUAGUUCUAAUAUGUUCCGGUUUCAAAUUUCUCCAGUUCAAUUUUGUGGGGCGCAUUCUAGGUCCUAGAGGUAAUUCUCUAAAGCGGGUGGAAGCUUCAACUGGCUGCCGUGUUUUUAUUAGAGGGAAGGGUUCCAUCAAAGAUACAGAGAAGGUAUCCAAAAUGUUAUAUUUGUUAAUCGCAUCCCACUUAUGUGCUUGUUUAAUUUAUAAUAUCUUAAGUUUAGAAAGGUUUUAUAGCCUGUUGGGUCAUGGAGCUUAUUUGUCAUAUCUAAUGUAAUGUCGCGUCAUGGAACUCUGUGAACUACAUGCAACACUUAAGUUUUAUUUCCUGACUUGUAACCCUAAUGUUAUUCAACUAGUCUUGCCUCUGACCUUUGCUAUCACUGCAAUGGAUCUAAUUUUGGUAUCAUGAUCUUCAAAUUCUCGCCUGACUUGACCAGCAAAACUACAACAUAUAAGGACAGGCACAACUUUUUUUUUUUGGAUUAACCCAUAGGUGCUGUUCAAGGCAGAUCACCUAUGCAUGCUGCCUUGCUCAUAGAUGGCUUGGGACCGAGUGACAGAAUGUCCUGCUCAAGAUCCAAAUGUUCCCAUAGGAGGACUCUGUGAAAGAUCAGCACUAUGAUGACUAAGGGCGUACCUUAAGGAAUGAUUUGUGUGGGGAAUUAUUUUAUUUUCCACUAAGUAAUAUCCUAUUCUUCAUCUGCCAUCACAAUUUUGCAGCCUUUUUUUCUGUAGUGCCGUUGAAGCAUCAUUAGUUUUGCCAUUUUUUAUUUAUGGCAUUAAGUCAAACCAAGGUGUGCUAUAAUUUUUAACAUAGAACUUCAACGGACUCUCCCUUUCUUGCCACAGCCUACUGUGAAAUCGAGCAUUCUUUAGAUUUCUUUUUCCUGGGCUUUGCUGUUUGCCUUUUGUUCAUUGAAUUGGAUGGAAUAUGACAAUUAGAAUUGAGGAAGAAAAAGGGUUGUCCAAAGAAGAGUUUGAAAUCUUCCUUUGUAUUAGCAUGCUGAAUUAUUGUGUCAUGUUUUUUUUAAUUUUAAUGCUAAUAUUUACCUGUAGCUCUGUAGGAAAUUAUGCUCACAGAAUUGCCAGAAACAGUUCCUAACAUGUGGGGUCCCUUUCUACUGGACUAAUUGUUUGCUUUUGCUCUAGAAAGUCCAUAUGUUUUUGUUACAGAUCAUAACAUAUUGUCCAACUCUGUACAUCCUUUUCUCAAACUAACUCUGUACAUCUUGGGUGUUCAAUCCUAGAUGCAUCUGUAUUAUGAAUAUCCAGUAACCCUAUUAGAGCCCUCUGUUGAUGAAGACUUGGAAGAAUAACAUCCAUUUUCUGUUAUUUUCCCUCACUAUCCCAUGACUUAGACAUUCGGUACCUUGUAAAAAUGGUAGCAUCUAGUUAUGUCUUUUGGUCAAAUGUUUUUUUUUCUCGAACACGCAGGAGAGCUGCGUAUCAUUGUAUUAAUAGGAGAAGAACGAGUCAUAUAGAGACCCAAACACACUAGAAUUGGUCAAAUGUGUUGGUAUGAACUCAUGAUAUUCAGUGAUGAAUGUUGUUACAUAUAUCUGGAUAUCAUAUAUUAGUCUUUUUCAGAUUUCUGUGUUUUUCUGCUUGCAGUGGCUAUGUGGUAAUCUUUGGGAAGGCAGUCUUACCUCCUUAACUUAUUAUUGUCAUUACACCAUUAUUGUGAUAAUCAAGAAGUUGUAUUUCUCAUUCUAAUCAUUUAAUCUUUGUUAGUGCAUAUUUAGAACUCAUAUGGUCCUACUGCUUCCAUUUUCUCUCUUCUUCUUAGUUCCCCAAGAAUACACAGUUACACAUAUGUGCUUUUAUUGCUUUAGGAAGAGAAGCUUAAAGGAAAACCUGGCUAUGAACAUCUAAAUGAGCCACUGCAUAUAUUAAUCGAGGCUGAGUUACCAGCGAAUAUCAUUGAUACAAGACUCAGACAGGCACAAGAAGUCAUGGAAGAACUGCUAAAGCCAGUGGUAAGUUAUUCUAAUGUAUAAUAAAAUUCUGCAUUUAUUGGUCCUCAUCUGCCAAAGCUAGGAGUUUGUAGGGGUACUCUUAUUUGAAUUGGCAAAUGCCGUGCAAGAACACAUGAUCUAUGCAUUACUUUAUUUUGAAAUUUGGAUAUUUAUCACUUCCAGUACUUGUAAAACUUCAUUUAGUUGGUAAAUUGCUGUUAAAGGCUAGUGUCAAACUUUGCAUCACUUUGUAUCCAGUGACUAAUUGCAGCUAAAACAAACCCUACAUUGUUCUGUUUUAUGUAUCUUUGCAAUACAAUGUUUUCUUCAAAAAAAAAGUCUACAAUGAAAAGAAAUGUAUAUCCCAAAACUUGAAGGCGUUGUAGUGCAUCCAUUCAGUGGAAAUUUUCUCAAAAUACAAAACAUUCACACUUUUUUUCGGAAAAAAUUUCAACUGCAAUUAAAUCAUAAUAUUCCUGAAGUAAAGAUAAGUCACAUUUUGGGAUAUAUCUAUAUGUGUCACACCCGGUUUUAAAACAAAACCAAGUGCUACCUAUAUCUGUGCUAGAAUCAAGUUUCAUACAUAUAAUGACAUCAUCAGUGAAUAACAGUAACAAUAUCACGUAAAGGAAUAUAAAUAAUGACUUACGAGUCUAUCAGAGAUAUACAGCUUAAUCCUGGAAACGAAGGCUCCAAACUUCACAGGCAAUCGACUGGGGUUCGCGUACGCCUAGAACUCAGCAUCAUCUUCAGCAAACUUCAUAGCAACCCCUUCUUCUGAGCGGCGGUUAGCAAGGGUGAGUACACUUAUGGUUGGUACUUAGCAAGGCCACAAGAAAUAAUCAGAAUAACGAUUUAAGUCCAUCUUCAAGUUUAUUAAUCAUGUGAAGGUCCAGGCGCUCUUGAUCGUGAGCACGGCUGAUAUAUCAGUUUUACACUCUGUAGAGGUUAUACACUUUUACCACAAGCCGCGUAAGUUCAGAAGAACUUUGGACCCAACCAUGCAAUGCGAAAGUAGGCACUUAUCACACUACCGAGGUGUGACCGCAUAGGGACGCUACGAGGCCUUUAAAAAAAUUCCCUAAUAAGUGGUAACCCGCUAAGGUUUUAGUGUCUGGCGUGCGUAAACCUCCCUAAUGGGCAUAGUGUCUUAACAAAGCCCACUUCCCAAGAGGACAUGGCUAUACAACGACUCAGUCCCCCCUCUUGCCUUUUCGGUAAGAUUACCCCAAAAUAGAGUCUCUAAUUAAUUAGCCAAGACCAGAGCCAUGUAGUUCUCGUGGUUGCACUAUUUUCUUGGGUGGUCGUUCCAUGUUCCAAUUAAUACAUGGUAUUCUUGUAAAAUAAGCAUAGAUAGAAGGAUGGUUAGAGACACUUGCCUUUCUCCAAAGAAAAGUUACUCUUACUGCUCUUCAGCUCAUGCUUUCUUGAAGCUCUUAAUCUUCAAACCUUUCGAACAUCAAUCCUUCUACUCGAAGCAAUCAUUGGGCACAACCAUACAAAGCAAACAAACAAGUAUAACUAAGAACAAUACACCAAUUAAGAAAGGCUUUAAAAGAGCGUAGAAAAGGGUAGGGCUCGAUUCUAUGGUCACUCGAACGCAAGAAACGCUGGGAACGGAACUAUGGUUGACAAGGCAAAACUAUCGAGAGGUUUGAUUUAUAAAAGAAAUAAAAAGACUAUAUGCUUGAUCCAUUUUAAUUAAAUAAAAUCAUGCACAUAGGUUAUUUUAGAGAAAUACCCUAUUUGGAAUUAUCAGAAAAUAAGGUUGAACGUUGACAACGUGAUAAACUUGAUCAGAUUUUAUUUAUAAAUAUUCAAGUAGAAGUUAUGCCAAUUUAACAAUUAACUUUAGAAACACAGAGCAUAUGUAAAAGACAUAAUCAAACAACUUUUUAUUUCGUGUUCAACUAAACAUAUUAAUAUUGAAAAAGCAUUUAUAAUAUCAUUAAGCAUAUAAACUUUAUUCAUGAAAACCGAUGUAUAACACUAGAUAACUUUUAUUUAGAAAAGCUAGUUAUAAAUAGAAAUUAAUCAAUUAAACCUUAAUUUAUGAAAAACGGGAUAGAACCUAACCAACUUUUAUUUAGAAAACUAAUUGAAUAAGAAUUAGUCAAGUUCACAUUUAAUUUUGAUGUUAAAAACAAGCAACAAGUAAUACACACUGCUAACGCAUAAGGUAAGGUUAAACGAAUAAGAACAACAAAAACAGACUACUCUAGAGCGUAGAAGGAAAGCGUAAACUAUGGUUUAGGAAAGGCUAGUCUACAAAGAGAUCAACUAAGUUGCAGGGACAACAAACUAGCAAAAGCUAAACUGAACUAGUCGGUAGAGAAACGAACUAAUAACAAGAUUGGCUCUAAAGAGAUGGCUGCGAAAGGUUUGGGCACAAAGAACUAAAAGAACAAAGGUGGCUCACAAAGAGACAACUGAGAUAAGACAGCUAUGAAUUGGAUCCUACAAACAUGAUUCUUAGAGGAAUAGGAAACAAACAUUAUAAGACUACUAAGCAGAAUAGAAACUCUAAGAUAAACUAUUUGGCUCACUAAAACGCACAAACUAUGCUUGAAAAGGAAAGGCCUGGUUAGAUUUAUAAAAGAAACAGGGUCCGAGCUGGGGCUGGGAAGAUCUAAAGCUUUACAGAAGACUUGAUUUACAAAAGAGACUGAGCUAACGCUGACAAAGAACAGCUAUCAAACUAUUCGCAUUUAUGAGAGCACAAAAGACUAUAAGCUAGGUUUAUUUUAAUUAGCAAAAUAUAUGUAAAGGAUAUUUCGGAAAGAAAAUACCCUAAGUUGGAAUUAACUAAGUUGGAAUUAAUGCAAGUUAUACUUUAUUUGCAAAGAUCGAGGUAAAUCCUAAUCAAGUUUUAUUCAUAAAUGUUCAUAUAUAAAUUAUACCAAUUACACACUUAACUUUAGAAAAGUGAAAACAGCUAAUCGAUUUAAUACAUGUUGUGUUGGGCUAAACAAAACUUAUUUAGAAAACAUAUUCAUAUUGGCAUUAGUCAUUUUAUCAAUCAUUAAGAAAAACCAAGUUAUAACUUAACCAUAUUUAAUUCUAAAUAUUGGGGUAUAAAUUAUAUCAUUUAAAUAUUUAACUUUAGAAAAGGCUAAACUAUGUGAAACAUCUAAGCGUAUACUUUAUGAUUCUAGUGGAUUAAAUUGUUAUUGAAAACAUAUUCACGUUGGUAUUAAUCAAGUUAAUUUAUUUAUAAAAAAAACGGAUGUAAAAGCCUAGUCAACUUUUAUUUAGAAAAGUUGAUUCGAUACUGAGCAUUAAUCAAAUUAAUAUUAGUUUAUGAAAAAUCGAUAUAUAUAUAUAUAUAUAUUAGCUUUUAUUUAGAAAAGCAUAUGAUGCAAGCAUUAAUCAAAUUAACAUUUAAUUAUGAAAGCGAGGUAUAACGCUAAGUAGCUUUUAUUUAAAGAAGACAUGUUUAUCAGGUAUUAAUCAAAUUAAAUUUGAAUUCAUUUUCAAAACAUGCAUGAUGGAAAACAUCACCACUAACAUGUAAUUUAUGUUAUCAUGAACCUAACGCAACUUGGACGGAUAUAAACGGUGCUGAAACGAAGAAGGGAUAGGUUAAACAAGGUUUAAGGGAUCUAGAUGUGAUUAACCGUAGAUCUGGAGGGCUGACAAGGAAGAUAGACAAGACACAUGGAAUAGUGCUCGCCAUUAGGUCAAAGCAUAGGGUUAGAUCUGUUAAAGUGCUCAUAUUGGAUUGGCUUAAAGGAAACUAAACUUUCCGGGUGCUUUCUAUAAAAUUGGCAAGAUACAAGAGAUUCGACCUAAAAUUGUAUAUUAGCUCGAGGGGCUAUCUGCAAAAAGCUCAAAGAGUUGAUAGCCAUGGCGGAUGGCCUCUGGCUGAUUCAAAUCGACGGUGGUCCGACGGGGUAGGGUAGGGAUGAAGAGGCGCAGGAGGUACGGGAGGUCACGGUUGACUCACAGGGAUGCUCACCGGUGACGGGGAGGUGGUUCAGCGGCCGAGAAAUUCUGACGGCGGAUGGCGAAGAAGCUCGGCGGCGGCUCGGGUCUUCAUGUGUGCGCGGUGCUUCGAUAGGGCAUUGGCAAUGAGGACUAGUGGCGCAGCUGCGCCUCGACAUCGUCGAGCCCCUAGGGGUGCUGGCUUGCUCCGGCGGGCGUCCCUGGCGGUGAAUCGGGCGAACAAGGCUGACGGCGCUCUACUUCCAGGCGGCUCGCUCGACGGCGGGAGCGUGGCACAAAGGUGAGGGUGCAAGGCAAGGCAGCAGGGGCGUGCAGGGUCAGGCGGUGUGUUUUAUAGGAGCACGGAGCAGGCCCCACGGCUUGGUGCGCACGCCAAGGCCGGCGGCGGUAUGCUGCCCAGCGGUCGUAGGAGCUGAGGCUGUUGGCCCAGAUGGGCCUCGGCUAGGCCGAGCUGGCUGGGCUGGGCUCGCAGGCUCGGCCCAAAGGGCAGGGGGUCUACCUGCAGGGAGAGAGGAGGAUUGGUAUGGGUUUGGGUAGGAUAGCGGGUUGGGUUUGGUUUGGUUGGAUCUAGCCUGACAAGGAUUUAGGGUUUUGUUUUAUUUUCCAAAUAUAAUUUUCAGUGCGAAAACUAAUCCAGAAUAUUCUAGAUAAUGUUUUUAGAGCACAAAAAAAUCAGGAAAAUCCUAAAAAAUCCAGGAAAAAUCUCGGAGAUAGUUUGGGGCAUGAGGAGUUCAAAUGAACUAUUUUGAGCUUGUGAAAAAGAUUCUAGAGCCUUAUAAUAAAUAGAUUUAGCUCUAGGAAAAAUGAGAACAACUCCUAGAAAGAGCUGGAAAAUCAGAAGGGUCUGGACAUCGUCUAAAUGCAUAUUAAAACCUUUUGCACUCAAGAAACACCAAGAUGCAUCGGCAUGAAUACAACACACACAGAACAACACUAUUUAAUUUAGAAAAACAACCCAUUGUUCUUCCUAUACUACAUUUCCUGUCAAGGAAAUAAAUGUUGGAAAAAUUUUAAAAUUAUGAGAAAAUCAUUGUUUAAUUAUUCUUUUUAAUCACAUCCUGAAAUCCAAAAAUUUCAGGGUGUGACAAUAUGGUUGUGUAUAUUUGGAUUGGACAUACGUUGCUUAAAUGCAUGUAUCUGCCUAAGGAUAUUAUGGUGUCAAAGGUACAGAGAACAUGUCAAAUACCACUUAAUUAUGUUUGGCUUGUGGGGUAUUAAUAGGUUCAGUAGAGAACACAUGGCUAUUCGCUUGAGAGAGCCCAAGAAGAAAUGGCAUGCUAAAAUCUGAUGUCGUUGAUUUACUUGGUUCUUAUAUUAUUUUAUAAGCUAGUUUUUUUUGCUGUGAGCCACCUGCUGUUUGUUCUUUAGGAGCAAUUAUUGCCUUUUCGCUCAAUGUUUCUGUAAAUAGGUUCCACUUCUCAUGCAUUGUAAUGUGCAUAUAUUGUAUUUUCCUUAUACUUUACUCCUAUAACUUAUUUAGAAAAUCCGUAUAGUUAUGAGUGUCUUCCAAUUUCCAUAUACUCCUUAUAUUCAGAACUAAAUAGUUAUUUUCCUUGUAUGUAGGACGAGUCACAAGAUUUCUACAAAAGGCAACAGCUGAGGGAACUGGCCAUGCUAAACUCAACUCUGAGAGAAGAUAGUCCUCAUCCUGGAAGCGUCUCUCCUUUCAGUAACGGUGGCAUGAAACGCGCAAAACCGAGUCAGUAGAGAAGCUGCUUCUCCAUCCUUCAGUCCUUCUUGUUGCAGGCGUGCAUCAUCAACAAGGGGCACUUGAGCCUGCGCUGCGUGGGUGCUUGUGUAAGAAAAGGUAUGCGUUUGCUGGAUGGUUAGUCUGGUAUCAAGCGCAUUUUCUCCUUCGGAUAAGGAGAAAUCAUGGUUGUUGAACCGUCUUGAUCUUUUUGUGGAUCGAGGCAUGUUGUUGUAACUUGUAAGGUCAUGGACAUUCAUUUUAUUCGUUAUUGACUGUUUAACCCUAAGUAGCUUGUGAUGCUGAGGAUAGGUGGUUUCAGGGGAGACUAGGUAAACCUGACUGUUUAAUUAGCUUGUAUUAGUCCCCUGUUACAUUAUGGAGUUGCAAAAAAAAACGAAGAUCAUGGUGCACUCCACUUUAUGAUAGUUUGAUGAUGGAAGCUUUGAAUGAACCAUGUGAACUCAAAAUGCAUUGUACUCGCAUAGUAUGCGAAUUUGGUUACAGUAUAAAUGGGAUCCAUGGGCAUUCAAGUAAUGUGGAUUUUGAAACAAACAAACGACUAGGUGUCAUUCUACAAAUUAAAUUUGGGUUGUUAAGUUGAUAUGCAUCUUUUGACCAGGAUAAGUUGGUGUGUAUCUUUACUUGCCCAUGCAGUGCUCCCUUCAGUCCCACAAAAAAUGGCAGGGGCUUUCUUUAAAUUUUUCUUCCUUUGUAUUUGAUCUUUCUUCUUUAGUGAUAUGAUGCGCUACUCUCUUGUAUAUUUGAUAAAAAGUAAAUGAUGUUUUGGUCAUUGAGAUGGUUUUCCAAAUACAACUUUGGCUAAAAUGUUUGUUGUUGGCAUGUAUAUGUUUAUAAAUUAAAGCAUAGCAAACUAUAUUAUGUCAAGGAAAUCUACUUACUCUGCAAUCUACUUAUUAUGUCAGAUGAUUAUCGCGGAGUAUCAAAAGAGAAGGGAGGGAGGGAGUAAUUACUGUAGUAGAAAAGUUCAAUCGCCGUGAUAGUCAUCUGACACAUGGGUACAAUUACAAAUGAAGUGACGACUGACGAGGUGUUAACCGAAGGACAGGAGGUAGUCCCAACCCGGUGCCGUCCUCGGAAUGCGUGAUGACAGCAUCCGCAGCACCUACAGGAAAAAAGGACCUACGGGCCUACCAUCACGCCUUCUCCGUUGUCGGCGGCGGCGGCGGCAGCAGCGGCGGCCGUCGGCGUGUCGGGGACUACUAGCUUCGCCGUGGUAGGGAAUAGGGACCCUUUGGUUUGGCGGCAGUUGGUGCCAGGACAAAACAGAGAAAGCUGUGCAACCUGCCGAAGGCGCCGUUCGUGCCCGUGGUUUCCGACCGACUCGUCCUUUUCUUUUCUUUUUUGUUUUGGAUACGCCGACUCGUCCAAGUUGGCCUCUUGAUAUUUCCUGUUUCGUGCUAGGCAUGGAUAAGGCAACGUCACGAGUCCCCGACCGUGCCCACGGGACGACGGGUGAGGUGAUGCAGCCGGUAGCGGAGAAGAGCUAUCCCACCACUCCAUGCAUGCAAAUAAUAUAUUUAUGGCUCAACCGCCACCACCGUACAGUCACCAGGUUCGAACCCGCAUGAGCCCCCCCUACCCGUGGAGAGAAGAUACCAGCAGGAGGAUGAAGAGAAAGAGGAAAGAGGAAAGGAUAGGAAGAAGACAAGGAAGAAGAAAAGAGAGAAGCCUUUGUAGUUUGUAGAAUUACUAUGUUCAUAUGGUAUGAUCAUAUAAAUUCGUGAGAUAGAAAAAAAGUUACAUGGGUGCUCCAAAACAACGUUCCAAUCAGUCAUGAUGCUAUCCCUUAGAAAGUUUGAAAAGAGAGGAACUAAAGAGUGCUCAGAGCAAGGCUUCGGCUCCUUCUAGCUCUUGCGAACCGGUAAAACAUAGAUCAGUAUCUCUCAUUUCGGGCAAACCGGUAAAAAAGAUUAUCUUUCAUUUUGGGGCAACGACUUUUGUCCAAAUUUUCGGGUCCGCCUACCACCUGGUAACUGUUCCGUUCUCACUUUCUUCGCUGCGAGCGUUGGCACGCAACGACAUUCUAGAUGCGGAGGUAGAUUCUUUGGAUACCGGUGUCAGGGAGCGUGAGCUGACAGAAAGUGUAAGCCUGCACGUGCGCAGGUUAACCGCUCGACCACACACGCCAGGAUCACAUGUACAGUGCCAAGUCCAAAACAACCCUGCCACCAAACCCUGCGAGAGGAUUUCUCCAACAAUAAAAACCACAACAAGGUUGGUGGCACUGGCAACAAAUCUUCGCAAUCUCCACGGCAAACAACCUUGUCCGGAUCGAAAGAACGAAAAAAAAUUGUCAACAAAUAUUAUUUAUCACACAUCGAAGGGUUCAUCAGGUUUUACAGAUCAGUUCAUCACGCUGCUGCGCUUUCUAACAUCAUCAGCAGCAGCAGACAGCAGAGCAGCGUAUGUACAGCAUCAUCAUCAGUUCAUGAAUCAGAGAAGUUACAGAGAGAUUCUUCACAUUAGUAUCAUCGAGAAUCAUCAAGGAUUUCAGAUUGGUACCCAAUGGAACGGUGGGGGGGGGGGGGG
rnacentral:lncRNA from 1 species